CAGCUGCUCUCCAGGGUGACAUUCAACAGAGGACAGGGAGCCACUGCAGGAGGGGCGGAGGGUCACAGGCAGAUGUCCUCUCCUGGGAAUCCAGUCCAGCCCUCUGCUAAGGGGCCAGAUGUCUAUGGGGCUGGCAUAGGACAGACUGUUCCUCUGUGACCUUGCCGUGGGGACUGAGUGUCAGGUGUGAAUCUAGGAAUCCAAAGGACUCAGAUGUCACCUGGAGGAGGUCUGACUCCUGCUACUCCCUGUCUUCCUGCAAACAGCCAGUAACAGAUAAACCACAGGGCAGUCCCGGGAGACCUUGGAGACUGGCCAGUGUCUGUGAGUCAGCUUCGAAGUCAGGCUUCCUUUGGACACUCAAACAGUCGACUGCAUUAUCCCUGUGGACUUCAUGCACAUAUGUCUCCGUGAACUGCGAGUGUACUGCGCAGACUUACUGUGUCUAGCCGAAGUUCAAGACAAGAAUAGAUAUUCCAGAUCAAGGGAUGAAUGUAAUGAAAACUCUUCAGAAUGUGUUCUGUAACCACACAA
rnacentral:lncRNA from 1 species